rnacentral:rRNA from 1 species
AGAGCGGCGGACGGGUGAGUAAUGCCUAGGAAUCUGCCUGGUAGUGGGGGAUAACGUUCGGAAACGGACGCUAAUACCGCAUACGUCCUACGGGAGAAAGCAGGGGACCUUCGGGCCUUGCGCUAUCAGAUGAGCCUAGGUCGGAUUAGCUAGUUGGUGGGGUAAUGGCUCACCAAGGCGACGAUCCGUAACUGGUCUGAGAGGAUGAUCAGUCACACUGGAACUGAGACACGGUCCAGACUCCUACGGGAGGCAGCAGUGGGGAAUAUUGGACAAUGGGCGAAAGCCUGAUCCAGCCAUGCCGCGUGUGUGAAGAAGGUCUUCGGAUUGUAAAGCACUUUAAGUUGGGAGGAAGGGCCAUUACCUAAUACGUGAUGGUUUUGACGUUACCGACAGAAUAAGCACCGGCUAACUCUGUGCCAGCAGCCGCGGUAAUACAGAGGGUGCAAGCGUUAAUCGGAAUUACUGGGCGUAAAGCGCGCGUAGGUGGUUUGUUAAGUUGGAUGUGAAAUCCCCGGGCUCAACCUGGGAACUGCAUUCAAAACUGACUGACUAGAGUAUGGUAGAGGGUGGUGGAAUUUCCUGUGUAGCGGUGAAAUGCGUAGAUAUAGGAAGGAACACCAGUGGCGAAGGCGACCACCUGGACUGAUACUGACACUGAGGUGCGAAAGCGUGCGGAGCAAACAGGAUUAGAUACCCUGGUAGUCCACGCCGUACACGAUGUCAACUAGCCGUUGGGAGCCUUGAGCUCUU